AUUGAACGCUGGCGGCAGGCUUAACACAUGCAAGUCGAGCGGAUGAAGGGAGCUUGCGCCUGGAUCCAGCGGCGGACGGGUGAGUAAUGCAUAGGAAUCUGCCUGGUAGUGGGGGAUAACGUCUGGAAACGGGCGCUAAUACCGCAUACGUCCUGAGGGAGAAAGAGGGGGAUCUUCGGACCUCACGCUAUCAGAGGAGCCUAGGUCGGAUUAGCUAGCUGGUGGGGUAAAGGCCUACCAAGGCGACGAUCCGUAACUGGUCUGAGAGGAUGAUCAGGCACACUGGAACUGAGACACGGUCCAGACUCCUACGGGAGGCAGCAGUGGGGAAUGUUGGACAAUGGGCGAAAGCCUGAUCCAGCCAUGCCGCGUGUGUGAAGAAGGUCUUCGGAUUGUAAAGCACUUUAAGUUGGGAGGAAGCGCAGUAAGUUAAUACCUUGCUGUAUUGACGGUACCGGCAGAAUAAGCACCGGCUAACUUCGUG
rnacentral:rRNA from 1 species